ACCAAGGCGACGAUCAGUAGCCGACCUGAGAGGGUGAUCGGCCACACUGGAACUGAGACACGGUCCAGACUCCUACGGGAGGCAGCAGUGGGGAAUAUUGCACAAUGGGCGAAAGCCUGAUGCAGCAACGCCGCGUGAGCGAUGAAGGCCUUCGGGUCGUAAAGCUCUGUCCUCAAGGAAGAUAAUGACGGUACUUGAGGAGGAAGCCCCGGCUAACUACGUGCCAGCAGCCGCGGUAAUACGUAGGGGGCUAGCGUUAUCCGGAAUUACUGGGCGUAAAGGGUGCGUAGGCGGUCUUUCAAGCCAGAAGUGAAAGGCUACGGCUCAACCGUAGUAAGUUUUUGGAACUGUAGGACUUGAGUGCAGGAGAGGAGAGUAGAAUUCCUAGUGUAGCGGUGAAAUGCGUAGAUAUUAGGAGGAAUACCAGUAGCGAAGGCGGCUCUCUGGACUGUAACUGACGCUGAGAAAGCGUGGGGAGCAAACAGGAUUAGAUACCCUGGUAGUCCACGCCGUAAACGAUGAGUACU
rnacentral:rRNA from 1 species